GUGAAUCAUCGAAUUUUUGAACGCAAAUUGCACUCUCCGGUUUUCCGGGAGAGUAGGCCGGUUGGAGGGUCUGUUUAAAAAAUAAUCGAGGCUGGUGCUGUGUUUUCGCCUCGGAAUUGGGUCAUCUUCCACCUUUCGGGGUUGUAAGCGACCUAAAAUGUUUCUUACGAGUUCUACAAACGGG
rnacentral:misc_RNA from 1 species